rnacentral:rRNA from 1 species
CGGGGGCACGGGGGGCCUACGGGAGGCAGCAGUGGGGAAUUUUGGACAAUGGGGGAAACCCUGAUCCAGCAAUGCCGCGUGGAUGAUGAAGGCCUUAGGGUUGUAAAGUCCUUUCGCUCGGGAAGAUAAUGACGGUACCGGGAGAAGAAGCACCGGCUAACUUUGUGC